UACGUAGGUGGCGAGCGUUAUCCGGAAUGAUUGGGCGUAAAGGGUGCGUAGGCGGCCUGCUAAGUCUGGAGUGAAAGGUACCGGCUCAGCCGGUACAGGCUCUGGAAACUGGCGGGCUAGAGAGCAGGAGAGGGCGGUGGAACUCCAUGUGUAGCGGUAAAAUGCGUAGAUAUAUGGAAGAACACCAGUGGCGAAGGCGGCCGCCUGGCCUGUUGGUACUGACGCUGAGGCACGAAAGCGUGGGGAGCAAAUAGG
rnacentral:rRNA from 1 species